ACUGAGGAGGAAGCAACAGCAGCUGUGCAUUGGGCCCACAGAAAGAAUGGUUGAAGACUGCAGUGUAUUUUGAGUUUCUGCUUUGGAGGGGAGGGUUGGUCCUGAUGCCCACAGACGAAUGGCCUCCUGGUUCCAAUCAAGGCCAGCCCAAAAGUCUGCUUCUGGAACCCAAACCUAAGGGACUCAGCUAUGUUUGUGUUGACCUACUAUCAAUAAAGAAGAUCCUUAUUUAAGAACAGGCCACCUUCUGUUUUACACAUAUACUUUCUGACCCUAGAAAUUGUUCAGAAGGUGGAAUGUUUUGCUGUUUCAAUGAGAUCACAUGUGUAAAGGCUCUUUCUACACUGCAGGAGCUAUAGAAAUGAAGCCAGAAUGGACUGAAUGUCACAGCCUUUAUAACCCACACUGUGGCCGCAAGAAGAGAUUCAAAGAAAAGACGAUCCUCCCUGCCAUUCCUCAGUGGCUGAAGGGCGUGGCCAGUCAUCAUUCGCUGAGCCCUUAAUAGUGUAAGACAUGCUGCGGAACCAUUAAGAUAUGCUCUCAUUUAAUCCUCAUACUAACCUAAGAGACAGCUAAUAGUAUCUAUACCUCAUCUCCACUUUUUUUUUUCUUACAGAAGAUACUGAGAAUCCGAGAGGUUAAAUUACUUCAAAAUCAAACAAAAAAAAAAUCGUAAAACUGGGAUUUAACCCUCAAAGCGUCAACUCCGAAGUUAAAGCUUUACCCCAGGGCCUUAAGACACAGGAACUAGCAUCAGAAAUGUCUCAAAAACAUGAUGCUAUUUGGUUUCUACGUGCUUUAACUCAGCCCACAUCAGCAGCCUCUGUGCUGGAGCAGAAAUGGAAGGAAAAUUCCUGGGACUUUAGUGCUUCCUGCAGCCAGCCUCAGGCCCUUUUCUUCUACAGAUUCUGGGAUGCAAAAAUCCUACUUCUGCUCUAAAAGGAGAAAAUGUGACUUGCAAGGAGAAUGUAAGUCUCAAAGAGGUACCUCUUCUUCUUCCUUGAGAGCCAUUGCCCCUUUUAUCAAUGUGACACAGCCCUUCGAAAACAGACUCCUUGUUCUUGGAGCUUGGCAGGGAAAAAAAACCAAGAAUUCAUUUGCAGGAGAGAAAGCAUCGUUAAAAAUGCCCUAUUUAGUGAAAACUUCAGAGCCAAGACUAGGUGUAUGUUCUCAUUAUUUCACAUGUUGUCAGAGUAACCAGUACAGUGAAAAGACAGCCUUUUGAAGAAAACAAGUUUGUGGAAAGUGCUUAAUUAAGGACACUGGCAUUUAUUUUUGACAUUUAUGAGACGAGAGAUGGUCACAGAAAACUAGAUGACUUUUCUUCACAAACAUACUGAAAACAAACAAGGAGCAUCAUUCCCACCAAGUGCGAAGCAGCAUAUACUUUAAUGCCUUAUUUUGGUCGAGCCAAUAUUUUGGUCAAGUGAUAAUGGGUAAAAAAUAAUUUAAUACUAUACCAUUGAUUUUACUGAUAAGACAAAGCAAGAGGCUACAAGCAAAUGCUGAUAGUACUCCAAGGAAAAAUGAUUCCACUGACCAUGUUAGCACGGUAAUUUUUAGUGUCAUCAUGAUGCCUUUCUAGUCUCUUUUUAUUCAGUGAUUCAUAUAGUAAAGAACUGCUGCCAUGUUUCUAAGUUUAGGAAAAUAUUAACUUAUCCACAGAACCUUCCCAAGAGACUCAAUAUAAUUUAAAGGUCCU
rnacentral:lncRNA from 1 species